CAGGUACUUGAGCCUAAACAAAAAGGACUGCAGAAGAAGAGAAGAGGAUAUAUAAAUACGAUGAAGUGACCAUUACUACUGGAGGGGGCCCAGCACAGAACAGUUAUGCUACUGGAAGGAACCAAGAUCUGACAGUAAUCCCUGAUGCAGAGGGAAGGAAAGGAAGUCAAUUUCUAGUGCUAAUACAGCUCAGAAAUUAUUGGAACCAUUAGGAAACGCCCACCCCAUUUGAAACACGGAGAGGGACCAGAGGAGAUGUCUAAGAAGGUCCAAUAAAGUGAUUAUAAUGAUAGUUUUUAUCCCAAAAUAAAACCAGCACCAUAUAUUAUUCAUUAUUGCCUACAAGACUGAAGGGGUUUUUAGUUUAGCUUUAUGUCUUCUUUAAAACCUAUACCACUGUAAAGCAGCAUUUAUUCCUGCAAGUGACCAUACAGUAUGUUAACUAAUAGCAUAACAUAAAAAAGUAAUAAUCACAUGAUCAUUUGUAAUUAAGUAAUUUUAGACAUAAUUCUGUUUUAAAAAAAAGCUUUCUUUUUUGGGGAGGAGGUAGAAUUAAAUAAUAAGUACCCUAACAUCAAUAAAAUUUGUAUAAAAUA